CAAUUAAAACACCAAUUGUUCGCCAAAUAACUACGAGUAAAAACUUAAAAUUUAAAAGACUUGACGGUACUUCAUACCACCCUAGAGGAGCCUGUCUAAUAACCGAUACUCCACGAUUAACCCAACCCAUCCUAGCCCAAUCAGUCUAUAUACCGCCAUCGCCAGCUCACCUUGUAAAAGAAACAUAGCGAGCCUAAAAGCACCACCACUAGCACGAUAGGUCGAGGUGUAACUAAUGGGUGGGAAUCAGAUGGGCUACAUUUUCUAAUACAGAAAAUACGAAUAGACUAUGAAAGUAGAAACCGAAGGAGGAUUUAGUAGUAUGUUAAGGACAAAAUGCUUAACCGAAAUAAACGCAAUGAAGUGCGUACACACCGCCCGUCAUCCC
rnacentral:rRNA from 1 species